UACGGGGGGGGCAAGCGUUGUUCGGAAUUACUGGGCGUAAAGGGCUCGUAGGCGGCCAACUAAGUCAGACGUGAAAUCCCUCGGCUUAACCGGGGAACUGCGUCUGAUACUGGAUGGCUUGAGUUUGGGAGAGGGAUGCGGAAUUCCAGGUGUAGCGGUGAAAUGCGUAGAUAUCUGGAGGAACACCGGUGGCGAAGGCGGCAUCCUGGACCAACACUGACGCUGAGACGCGAAAGCGUGGGGAGCGAACAGG
rnacentral:rRNA from 1 species